rnacentral:lncRNA from 1 species
ACAGGAAGGUAAAAUAGAGUAGCCACAUUGGAAAGCAGCCUGGCAGUUUCUCACAGAGUCGACACACAACAAGUUGAAACAGACUGAAAAAGAAAAGAGGUUGAAAGUUUACAGUGAUACUCUUCCGAUGGCAAUUCACCCGAGAGAAAUAAAAACACGUGACCACGUGGACACUGGGACCUGGAUGCUCAGGGAAGCACAGUCCAUGAGGGUCAGCACCCGAGACAAUCCAAAUGUCCACCCACUGGUGAAUGAAUCAACAAAAUGUGCUAAAUCCCAUAGAUGGAAUGCUAUGCAGUAAUGAAAAGGGAACCAAGUACUGCCCCAUGUGACAACAUGGACAAACUCUAGUGAAAGAAACCAGAUACAAAUGCGUUUGGUACAACCUCAUUUAGGUGAAAUGCAGGAAUGGUAGGACUCUAGGGACAGGAGCUCAGAAGUUGCCUGGGCUAGGGUUAGGGCCAGGCACAAGAUGUGUAACUGCAGAUUGGCACAAGUGAUCUCUAUGGGUUGGCACAAAUGUU